GGGACAGUAGGCUAAUGGCAAACUGAGUGGCUCCAGACCACUAUUUGGGGGUUCGACUCCCUCCUGCCCCA
rnacentral:tRNA from 1 species